GUAGAGGGGGAGGACAGGGGGUACCCUUCUCCCUUCUCCCACCCCUCUUCUCCUUUCUCCUACCCCCGUUCUCCUUUCUCCCAUUAGAAUAAAACAUCUCCUUUUGAGAUAUUUUUUCUUCAAAUAUCAGAUCAUUUUUUAAAAGGAGAGAUAUUUUAUUUUUUCUCCUUUCUCCAACUUUUUCUCCUUUCUCCCAGCCUUCCUCUCCUUUCUCCUACCCCCUUUCUCCUUUCUCCUACCCCCUUUCUCUCUGUCCCCCUUACCCCUGUCCUCCCCCUCAUAG
rnacentral:lncRNA from 1 species